rnacentral:lncRNA from 10 species
CUCCCCCACCAACCUCAGUGGUUCAGUGGUGUCUGCAAAAUGCAUCCAUCCUGCCAUCUGAGUAGCAGAACUGUAAGAGAAAGCAACAUUCACCUUUGUGUCACAGAUCAAAUGGUAACCCACUGAAGACCACCCCAUUACCUUGUGCUAGAACGGAACUGCCUCUGCCAUCUCUCUUUAACAGAAGCACAUCCUGAGAACCUGAGAGCUCAAGGUAAGUGGCUGAACACUGUCAACACAUACAGACAUCUAACUGUCUCCUUACUGUACAGCCAUAGCAAGAAACAAACGCAUGCAAUGCUGUCAAGGUAGAAGACACCACUGUUUACUACCCCAGUCCCAAAUAUCUGUGUACGUUAGCACAGCCUACCUAGCUCUUCUGUCAUUGUCUUUUUAAGUAAACAUUAUACAUUUGAACUGAA